UACGUAGGGUGCGAGCGUUGUCCGGAUUUAUUGGGCGUAAAGAGCUCGUAGGCGGUUUGUCGCGUCGGCCGUGAAAUCUCCACGCUUAACGUGGAGCGUGCGGUCGAUACGGGCAGACUAGAGUUCGGUAGGGGAGACUGGAAUUCCUGGUGUAGCGGUGAAAUGCGCAGAUAUCAGGAGGAACACCGGUGGCGAAGGCGGGUCUCUGGGCCGAAACUGACGCUGAGGAGCGAAAGCGUGGGGAGCAAACAGG
rnacentral:rRNA from 1 species